GCCUCGUUGGCUCAGCCUGGCUAGAGCGAUCCCCUCGUAAGGGAUAGGCCCCGGGUUCAAAUCCCGGACGGGGCU
rnacentral:tRNA from 1 species